rnacentral:rRNA from 1 species
AGCGAACGCUGGCGGCAGGCUUAACACAUGCAAGUCGAGCGGUCCUUCGGGAUAGUGGCGGACGGGUGAGUAACACGUGGGAACGUACCCUUAGGUUCGGAACAACACAGGGAAACUUGUGCUAAUACCGGAUAAGCCCUUCGGGGGAAAGAUUUAUCGCCUUUGGAGCGGCCCGCGUCUGAUUAGCUUGUUGGUGAGGUAAUGGCUCACCAAGGCUACGAUCAGGAGCUGGUCUGAGAGGAUGGCCAGCCACACUGGGACUGAGACACGGCCCAGACUCCUACGGGAGGCAGCAGUGGGGAAUCUUGCGCAAUGGGCGAAAGCCUGACGCAGCCAUGCCGCGUGGAUGAUGAAGGUCUUAGGAUUGUAAAAUCCUUUCACCGGGGACGAUAAUGACGGUACCCGGAGAAGAAGCCCCGGCUAACUUCGUGCCAGCAGCCGCAGUAA